UUUCACAAUCUGGGACAAUACAGAGCAAGUUAUGGCCAACACCUGACGCUGAAGUCUGGAUCAAUACCACCAAGCCUCCUGAACAAAAGUUCCUGUUACAGACGGUCAUGAUGAGUAGAAGAAGGCAACAUGAUGAAGCAAAACUCCUCCUUCACCACUACGUUGGAGUCUUCCCAUUCAGUCAUCAUCCAAUUUGCUCCAAAUAAUCAAACACAAGCAGACGCUUCUUACAGAUGGCUGUCCUCUAGAAUGAAAAUGCACACCAACC